rnacentral:lncRNA from 1 species
CAAAAAGAAUACAGUUGAUAAUGCAAAACAAACAAAACCAAAAAACACAUCGCUGAAGAGUGACAUGCACACUGUGAGUUUAUAGAACUUAAAUAUAUGGUUCAGUGGGGGCGGGGGGAAUACAUUCCUAAUCACCCGGAAGUUGCCUGAUGUCCCUGCCAAGUCCACAUCCACACUUUCCCAGCCAGAGGUGCGCAGGAGUCGGACCAUGCCGAUUCUUCUUGAGAGUUAUGGAGCUGUGUAUAAACAGGGUCUCCAGGCCCAGAUCCGCUGUGUACAGGUUCUUUCUCAGCAUCGUGCCUGUGCAACUUCUUUGUAGUGACUGUGUGGAUUUUUAACUUGCAGGGAAAUACUCCAUUAUGUGCUAUAUACAAUGCAACCUGGUACCUUUUGUUUACCCAGCUUUCCGUUUGUACUUGGGCUUUUUUUCUUCUUCUCCUGUGUGGGGGCAAUUACAGAUAGGGCAUUUCCUACACUCAGGGCUUCUGUUCCAUGCCUGGCAUUGUCCUAUUGUGUUCCGGUCCUGGCCGUCUGUCCUGCUUUCCUCCCUCUCUGGGAACCUAUUUGGCUGCUGGGACUUAGGGUGUGUGACCUGGACCUUUGAUGGUCCUAUGGGGUCUCACACUACCUUGGAAGGCCAAGCUGUGGCUCUUAGUCCCUUAGAGCUGUGGCUCUAAGCUGUGACAGUCUUAGUCUGGGGAGACUGAGACUUGCUUCAUGGGCUUGCUUCUCUAUUCUUGCUGAUGCUAACAUCUGUGGACCACCUUUUAGCACUGGUUGCUCUUGCCUAACUCUUGUCUGCAUCCCUUGGCUGUCAGCCAGUUGGGAGGCUUCUUGUAUGCCUCCAAUGAACCUUCAAGGAUGCUUCUGGAACUGGGAUAUUUAUCAGAGACAGAUCAGGAAAGCCAGCACCAUUAGACAUGCAGCUCUGUGCUGCCUUGGGGACACAUUCUUGGCUGUCUUUCCAAAACGUUCGUGGUAUGGUACUGUCUGUCAGUAUUAACAAGCAUGGGUUUCCCUAAAUGUUUUUAUCUUUGUGUGUGUGUGUGUACUUGGGUGCACACAACUAGUAGUAUGUGCAUUCCUGCAUAUAAGUAUGCAUUUAUUUGAUUUGUACGUUAUCAUAAAAUAUUUUCUCUUUGCUAGGCAUGAUGGUGUGUGUGUAUAAUCUCGGAGUCCAGGAGGCUGGGGCAGGUAUCUUCUCCACUUCCUUCCUUGUCCCCUCAAAGAUGUUGACUAACAUCAAGGCAACACCUUCUUUGUAGAUGAAAGAGGUAAGAUCCAUGUUUAUUCUGCCCCUUCCCAUGGCAUAGCCACAGGCAACAGAUACCUUAGCUCCUGCCAUAGGCAGGGAACAUGGGCUUGAGCUAUGUUUGGAAGGGGCAGGAUCUGGGGGACCCCCACUUAAUGCUGUAGGUGAUAAAGUGCUUGGAAG